UGCUGAAGCAACAAAUGCCCUGCUUCCAGGAAAAGCCUCUAAGCAUCAGGUAACAUCAAAUCGUACCCCAAACCGACACAGGUGGUCAGGUAGAGAAUACCAAGGCGCUUGAGAGAACUCGGGUGAAGGAACUAGGCAAAAUGGUGCCGUAACUUCGGGAGAAGGCACGCUGAUAUGUAGGUGAAGCGACUUGCUCGUGGAGCUGAAAUCAGUCGAAGAUACCAGCUGGCUGCAACUGUUUAUUAAAAACACAGCACUGUGCAAACACGAAAGUGGACGUAUACGGUGUGACGCCUGCCCGGUGCCGGAAGGUUAAUUGAUGGGGUCAGCGCAAGCGAAGCUCUUGAUCGAAGCCCCGGUAAACGGCGGCCGUAACUAUAACGGUCCUAAGGUAGCGAAAUUCCUUGUCGGGUAAGUUCCGACCUGCACGAAUGGCGUAAUGAUGGCCAGGCUGUCUCCACCCGAGACUCAGUGAAAUUGAACUCGCUGUGAAGAUGCAGUGUACCCGCGGCAAGACGGAAAGACCCCGUGAACCUUUACUAUAGCUUGACACUGAACAUUGAGCCUUGAUGUGUAGGAUAGGUGGGAGGCUUUGAAGUGUGGACGCCAGUCUGCAUGGAGCCGACCUUGAAAUACCACCCUUUAAUGUUUGAUGUUCUAACGUUGACCCGUAAUCCGGGUUGCGGACAGUGUCUGGUGGGUAGUUUGACUGGGGCGGUCUCCUCCUAAAGAGUAACGGAGGAGCACGAAGGUUGGCUAAUCCUGGUCGGACAUCAGGAGGUUAGUGCAAUGGCAUAAGCCAGCUUGACUGCGAGCGUGACGGCGCGAGCAGGUGCGAAAGCAGGUCAUAGUGAUCCGGUGGUUCUGAAUGGAAGGGCCAUCGCUCAACGGAUAAAAGGUACUCCGGGGAUAACAGGCUGAUACCGCCCAAGAGUUCAUAUCGACGGCGGUGUUUGGCACCUCGAUGUCGGCUCAUCACAUCCUGGGGCUGAAGUAGGUCCCAAGGGUAUGGCUGUUCGCCAUUUAAAGUGGUACGCGAGCUGGGUUUAGAACGUCGUGAGACAGUUCGGUCCCUAUCUGCCGUGGGCGCUGGAGAACUGAGGGGGGCUGCUCCUAGUACGAGAGGACCGGAGUGGACGCAUCACUGGUGUUCGGGUUGUCAUGCCAAUGGCACUGCCCGGUAGCUAAAUGCGGAAGAGAUAAGUGCUGAAAGCAUCUAAGCACGAAACUUGCCCCGAGAUGAGUUCUCCCUGACUCCUUGAG
rnacentral:rRNA from 1 species